rnacentral:rRNA from 1 species
AGCGAACGCUGGCGGCAGGCUUAACACAUGCAAGUCGAACGGGCGUAGCAAUACGUCAGUGGCGGACGGGUGAGUAACACGUGGGAACGUGCCCUUUGGUACGGAAUAACUCAGGGAAACUUGAGCUAAUACCGUAUGUGCCCUUCGGGGGAAAGAUUUAUCGCCAUUGGAGCGGCCCGCGUCUGAUUAGCUAGUUGGUGAGGUAACGGCUCACCAAGGCGACGAUCAGUAGCUGGUCUGAGAGGAUGACCAGCCACAUUGGGACUGAGACACGGCCCAAACUCCUACGGGAGGCAGCAGUGGGGAAUCUUGCGCAAUGGGCGAAAGCCUGACGCAGCCAUGCCGCGUGGAUGAUGAAGGUCUUAGGAUUGUAAAAUCCUUUCACCGGUGAAGAUAAUGACUGUAGCCGGAGAAGAAGCCCCGGCUAACUUCGUGCCAGCCGCCGCCGUAAUAC